rnacentral:rRNA from 1 species
UACGUAGGGGGCGAGCGUUACCCGGAUUUACUGGGCGUAAAGCGCGUGUAGGCGGCUGGUCAAGCGUGGUGUGAAAUCUCCGGGCUCAACCCGGAAACUGCAUUGCGAACUGACCUAGCUGGAGUGCAGGAGAGGGCAGCGGAAUUCCCGGUGUAGCGGUGAAAUGCGUAGAUAUCAGGAGGAACACCUGUGGUGUAGACAGCUUACUGGACCACUUCUGACGCUGAGACACGAAAGCGUGGGUAGCAAACAGG